rnacentral:rRNA from 1 species
GACGAACGCUGGCGGCAUGCCUAAUACAUGCAAGUCGAGCGAACAGAUGAAGUGCUUGCACUUCUGACGUUAGCGGCGAACGGGUGAGUAACACGUAAGGAAUCUACCUAUAAGCGGGGGAUAACAUUCGGAAACGGGUGCUAAUACCGCAUAAUAUCUUCUUCCGCAUGGACGAAGAUUGAAAGACGGCUCUGCUGUCACUUAUAGAUGACCUUGCGGUGCAUUAGUUAGUUGGUGGGGUAAUGGCCUACCAAGGCGAUGAUGCAUAGCCGACCUGAGAGGGGGAUCGGACACAUUGGGACUGAGACACGGCCCAAACUCCGACGGGGGGCAGCAGUAGGGAAUCGUCGGCAAUGGGCGAAAGCCUGACGGAGCAAUGCCGCGUGAGUGAAGAAGGCCUUCGGGUCGUAAAACUCUGUUAUAAGAGAAGAACAAAUUGUAGAGUAACUGCUACAGUCUUGACGGUAUCUUAUCAGAAAGCCACGGCUAACUACGUGCCAGCAGCCGCCGUAA